CCUACGGGCUGCAGCAGUGGGGAAUAUUGCACAAUGGGCGCAAGCCUGAUGCAGCCAUGCCGCGUGUAUGAAGAAGGCCUUCGGGUUGUAAAGUACUUUCAGCGGGGAGGAAGGGAGUAAAGUUAAUACCUUUGCUCAUUGACGUUACCCGCAGAAGAAGCACCGGCUAACUCCGUGCCAGCAGCCGCGGUAAUACGGAGGGUGCGAGCGUUAAUCGGAAUUACUGGGCGUAAAGCGCAUGCAGGCGGCCUGUUAAGUCAGAUGUGAAAGCCCGGGGCUUAACCUCGGAAUUGCAUCUGAUACUGGCAAGCUUGAGUCUCGUAGAGGGGGGUAGAAUUCCAGGUGUAGCGGUGAAAUGCGUAGAGAUCUGGAGGAAUACCGGUGGUGAAGGCGGCCCCCUGGACGAAGACUGACGCUCAGGUGCGAAAGCGUGGGGAGCAAACAGGAUUAGAUACCCCCGUAGUC
rnacentral:rRNA from 1 species